GGGGGCGAACUGGGUUCGACGGGAAGGAAAGUGGCAUCGGUGGCGGGUCGGGUGGCGCCCGUUAACAGCCAACCCAAAUAAGUGCGGCUCCUGUCGCUCUGGCUGCGUAAUUGACGCAGCAGCCCGCCUGAGGCUCGCUCGGCGGCUUCAGGGUCGGGUUCAGACCGCCGAGUGCGCUUCCGCUGACGCCCGCUAAGCGGAAGCAAAGAAAGAAGCGGGCUGGGCAACUGACAGCCUGCCGCUGGGCGGUCGGUUGCCGAGAGAUAAAACAGCGGCUACGCCCGUAGGCACCGAUGUCGCCGCCUUCUCGGACGCGGGUUCAAUUCCCGCCGCCUCCACCA
rnacentral:tmRNA from 1 species